UCGGGAAUUUUGGGCAAUGGGCGAAAGCCUGACCCAGCAACGCCGCGUGAAGGAUGAAGUAUUUCGGUAUGUAAACUUCGAAAGAAUAGGAAGAAUAAAUGACGGUACUAUUUAUAAGCUCCGGCUAACUACGUGCCAGCAGCCGCGGUAAUACGUAGGGAGCAAGCGUUGUUCGGAUUUACUGGGCGUAAAGGGCGCGUAGGCGGCGCGGUAAGUCACUUGUGAAAUCUCUGAGCUUAACUCAGAACGGCCAAGUGAUACUGCAGUGCUAGAGUGCAGAAAGGGCAAUCGGAAUUCUUGGUGUAGCGGUGAAAUGCGUAGAUAUCAAGAGGAACACCUGAGGCGAAGGCGGGUUGCUAGGCUGACACUGACGCUGAGGCGCGAAAGCCAGGGGAGCAAACGGG
rnacentral:rRNA from 1 species